rnacentral:rRNA from 1 species
UACGUAGGUGGCGAGCGUUGUCCGGAAUCACUGGGCGUAAAGGGCGCGUAGGCGGUUAUUCAAGUCGCAUGUGAAAUACCAGGGCUCAACUCUGGGGGGUCAUGCGAAACUGGACAACUUGAGUGCAGUAGAGGGAAGCGGAAUUCCUGGUGUAGCGGUAAAAUGCGUAGAGAUCAGGAGGAACACCGGUGGCGAAGGCGGCUUCCUGGGCUGUAACUGACGCUGAUGCGCGAAAGCGUGGGGAG